rfam:Triticum aestivum genome assembly, contig: Triticum_aestivum_CS42_TGACv1_scaffold_222971_3B
GACAUACUCCCUCCGUCCCAUAAUGUAAGACGUUUUUUGACACUAGUAAGACGUUUUUUGACACUAGUAAGACGUUUAACAUCUUACAUUAUAGUGUCAAAAAACGUCUUACUAGUGUCAAAAAACGUCUUACAUUAUGGGACGGAGGGAGUAGUUU